ACAGGAUUAGAUACCCUGGUAGUCCACGCCGUAAACGAUGUCGACUUGGAGGUUGUGCCCUUGAGGCGUGGCUUCCGGAGCUAACGCGUUAAGUCGACCGCCUGGGGAGUACGGCCGCAAGGUUAAAACUCAAAUGAAUUGACGGGGGCCCGCACAAGCGGUGGAGCAUGUGGUUUAAUUCGAUGCAACGCGAAGAACCUUACCUGGUCUUGACAUCCACAGAACUUNGCAGAGAUGCNUUGGUGCCUUCGGGAACUGUGAGACAGGUGCUGCAUGGCUGUCGUCAGCUCGUGUUGUGAAAUGUUGGGUUAAGUCCCGCAACGAGCGCAACCCUUAUCCUUUGUUGCCAGCGGUCAGGCCGGGAACUCAAAGGAGACUGCCAGUGAUAAACUGGAGGAAGGUGGGGAUGACGUCAAGUCAUCAUGGCCCUUACGACCAGGGCUACACACGUGCUACAAUGGCGCAUACAAAGAGAAGCAAUCUCGCGAGAGCNAGCGGACCUCAUAAAGUGCGUCGUAGUCCGGAUUGGAGUCUGCAACUCGACUCCAUGAAGUCGGAAUCGCUAGUAAUCGUGAAUCAGAAUGUCACGGUGAAUACGUUCCCGGGCCUUGUACACACCGCCCGUCACACCAUGGGAGUGGGUUGCAAAAGAAGUAGGUAGCUUAACCUUCGGGAGGGCGCUUACCACUUUGUGAUUCAUGACUGGGGUGAAGUCG
rnacentral:rRNA from 1 species